CAAUAGCGUAUAUUUAAGUUGCUGCAGUUAAAAAGCUCGUAGUUGGAUUUCGGGUGGGAAUGGCCGGUCCGCCGUUUCGGUGUGCACUUGCUACGCCCACCUUGCUGCCGGGGACGUGCUCUUGAGUUCACGCUCGGGACACGGAGUCGGCGAGGUUACUUUGAGUAAAUUAGAGUGUUCAAAGCAGGCCUACGCUCUGAAUACAUUAGCAUGGAAUAACACGAUAGGACUCUGGCCUAUCUUGUUGGUCUGUAGGACCGGAGUAAUGAUUAAGAGGGACAGUCGGGGGCAUUCGUAUUUCAUUGUCAGAGGUGAAAUUCUUGGAUUUAUGAAAGACGAACUACUGCGAAAGCAUUUGCCAAGGGUGUUUUCAUUAG
rnacentral:rRNA from 1 species